rnacentral:rRNA from 1 species
GACGAACGCUGGCGGCGUGCUUAACUCAUGCAAGUCGAACGGAAAGGCCCUGCUUUUGUGGGGUGCUCGAGUGGCGAACGGGUGAGUAACACGUGAGUAACCUGCCCUUGACUUUGGGAUAACUUCAGGAAACUGGGGCUAAUACCGGAUAGGAGCUCCUGCUGCAUGGUGGGGGUUGGAAAGUUUCGGCGGUUGGGGAUGGACACGCGGCUUAUCAGCUUGUUGGUGGGGUAGUGGCUUACCAAGGCUUUGACGGGUAGCCGGCCUGAGAGGGUGACCGGCCACAUUGGGACUGGGAAAGGGCCCAGACUCCUACGGGGGCAAGAGAUGGGGGAUAUAGCACGAUGGGCGGAGGCCUGAUGCAGCACUGCCGGGUGCGGGAUGACGGUCUGCGGAUUGUAAACCGGGUUCGCGUGUAACGAAGAGUGAGUGACGGUAAUGAGUAAAGAAGCAACGGCUAACUACGUG